rnacentral:rRNA from 1 species
GUGCCAGCCGCCGCGGUAAUACGGAGGGUGCAAGCGUUACUCGGAAUCACUGGGCGUAAAGCGCGCGCAGGCGGCCUUUUAAGUUGGAUGUGAAAGCCUAUGGCUCAACCAUAGAACUGCAUCCAAAACUAUUAGGCUAGAGUGUGGGAGAGGAAGAUGGAGUUAGUUGUGUAGGGGUAAAAUCCGUAGAGAUAACUAGGAAUACCAAAAGCGAAGGCAAUCUUCUGGAACAUUACUGACGCUGAGGCGCGAAAGCGUGGGGAGCAAACAGGAUUAGAUACCCUGGUAGUCCACGCCCUAAACNAUGAAUGUUAGUC